ensembl:lncRNA
ACUUGGCCGGCUAAGCAAGUACCCAUUCCAUCCUCCUGAAGAAGUCCAUUUGGUAGAAGGCAACCUUCUCCCAGAGGAGGAGCGGCGUUCAACCAAAGAUGCACAAGUCGCUGUGUUCCUCCGCUACGACUUCCGAACAAGAACUGGAGCGAGUCCUCCUCACCUGGCUUCAAGAGAUGAGGACUGAGUCCUCCUGACAUGCCCUUCUCCUAGAGCUAUCUAGAAAGAGUGCCAUGGGCCUGAUCUUGGGAGUCAAUGGAACCUAAUCCUCAAGACCUCCACUGGCUCUGUGGUCAACUUCUCUCAAAGCUCUCCAUGGGUCAGGGAGAGGAAGUUCCGAAGGGUACUAGCAGCAGAAGAUCAAGGCCCUGGAAGAGCUGCAUUUGUAACUCAGCCUGUGUGCUGCCUCUCCGGUCCAUAAACUGGUCCAUUCCCAUC